AGAGGUCCCUCAGUGCCAGGGCCUCCCCUGUGUCGAGGGCGGCUCUUAGAAUCCAUCCUGGGAAACUCACCGUCAGGGCAACGGAAUGAGAUCAACUUCAUGAGACUUAUUUUGACUGGAUCAUCUGAGGUCAGGAGUUCGAGACCAGCCUGGCCAACAUAGUGAAACCCCGUCUCUACUGAAAAUACAGAAUUAGCCGGGCGUGCCUGUAAUCUCAGCUACUUGGGAAGCUGAGGCAGGAGAAUUGCUUGAACCUGGGAGGUGGUGGAGGUUGCAGUGAGCCGAGACUGCGUCUUUGCACUGCAGCCUGGGCGACAAGAGCAAAACUUCAUCAAAAAAAAGAAAAAAAAGAAAAAAGAAAAGAAAGAAGUGGGUGCAGAGGCUGGGCUACAGAAGAACACACCAAUUCCCAUGGUUGAAUACUCCUUCGCACAAAAGCAGAGUCUCUGUGAGGGAUAAGGACUCCUUGAAGAUCACAGGGGUGGU
rnacentral:antisense_RNA from 1 species